AUGUUGAUUCCGCCUACCUCCAUUCUCGUUGCCCACUCUCCACCCAGCUUCAUUCUCCAUACCUCACUCCGUCCGUUUCUCGCUCUCACCAAGACGCAGAAUAACCAGUCCAUCACCGAACGCCCUUCUUCCCGUCGCCUCAUACUUCUUCGACGGCCUCCAUCAACUCACCGGUUUUCACGAUACCCGCCUGUCAACACCCAACUCCCUUCCGUGCUAGCUGCUGCCUCACCAUCGCAGCUUCCGUAA